rnacentral:piRNA from 1 species
GAUGUCUUGAUCCACCGGAUUGUCC